UCUGCGGAUAAAACAUUUACAACAGACAACGAGCAUACCUGCUCCUCCUUCAGUGAAGCUCCUCCCAUAACAAACACAUCUUCAGUGAAGCUCCUCCCAUAACAGUAUUAUCUUCCGUGAAGCCCCUCCCACAACAAACACAUCUUCAGUGAAGCUCCUCCCACAACAAGCACCCACCUCAGUGAAGCUCCUCC